rnacentral:lncRNA from 1 species
AGGGAAUGCUAAUGGCUCCGGAAACUUUGACUUUAAAGAGCAACUGAAUGAUUUUGGACCUCUGCUGAAAUUCAAACCAAAUUAGAAGCCAGACGGUUGUUACCCAUAAUCCCCACAUGAGAUGAAUCCCAGGAAGCCCAUCUGCUUGAAUUCCCCAUUUCCACAUGGAAGUUAGGAUCUCCAGCUAUUCAUAAUCUGCCCUUUCCUUACCCCAUGGGGAGAAGCUGGCUGUGCAACUCCAUUCUGUCUGCACUUAACACAACCACGGGAUGCCAGGAGAAGUCCUGCUGGCUGCAAACGGUGAGGGCCUCUGUUGCAAUUAGAAGAGACUGAAAAGGCACAGAAGCAGAGCAUAAGCAUUGGACAGACUCGUGAACUACAGGAGGAGGUAGGUGGGUCAUAUUUUAAGCAA